CACAUCGAUUCAUUGUCUACAUUUAUCUAAGCAAGAAAAAAGAACAUUACUGUGCAGAAGAAAAACAUCCUUCUCCACUCCUUUUUAUAAAAAAGACCGGAGGAGCCAUGUCUGUGUUUUUUUAAGCAUUUCAUUAAAACAGGAAAAUCAUCUUUACUGUCGAGGGGAAUCAGUUUCUAUCUCAGAUACCUUGUAAAGCAGGUUUCCUUCCUCCAUCAGCUUCUGAAGGAGGAUGAUGAGGAUGUCAGGCUUUGAAGUAGCCAUGGCCCAAGCAGCGUUCCCUGUGGAAGCAGAAGGCAAUUCAUGGUGCCGUUUUCAGCUUGAACAGACGGACAUCGUAUUCUCUUUAAUUUGGUACAAGAGUCACCACCACCGACGUGUUCCUACAACCUAUGGCCCGGUCCAGAGGCCUCAUCCCACUGUGGUCCACAUGCUCUAUCACUGCUCCUCUUUCCACCAAAUACUGGACCUAUAGGAGGCCACAGAUGGUUAAGAAAACAUGAACAAUGCAUCCACAGUCAUGAGUGCAGCUAACUCACAACAGUAUGUUUUCAAUAACCUUAGUGGAAUGUUAAUUAAGACUAAAUAAAGAUUGGGGCGUGUGGUGUUUUUGUGUCUCUGAGGA